rnacentral:sRNA from 1 species
AUUUAACUGUGGAAACAAUAC